ACAGGAGGAAGUUAAUGCACCAUCACUGCCUUCAAGCUGGUGGGCGCCACAAAACAUGGAAUCAGGUGGGCUCUAGAGGGGAGAGGGUUUCCCAGCUGACAGCCAUCGGGGAAGAGAGGAUUUCAGUCCCGAAACCGCAAGAACAGAAUUUGGCUAACAACCUAAGUGAGCUUGGAAGUGGAAUUUUCUCUCAAAGCCUCUAGUUUGUGUGAUGCUAAACAAAGGACCCAGUGGUGCUCACCUGGACUUAUGAACUAUAGAACUGUGAUGUGGAACUUGAGCCAGUUAUUUAACUUCCUCUCUCUCAUUGUCUUCCUCUGGAAAAGGGAGAUAUCUCACUUUGGGACCAGGAAUUUCAUCAAAUAAACUACUGAAGAGUUUUACUACUCCUUCAUCUUCCAAGCAGAGAUGAGCAAAACUCAGAUAAGCAAAAUCGAUGCUCAUAGGCUGUAUUGAAAAAGUGCUUAAAAACUCAAGCCAAUGCGUAAAUCUACCUUGGAUUAGUAUGUACCGUGAAAAAGACAGAAAAAAAGAUUGCUGAAACUUGCAGGGAAAUAUUUCAGUACCAAACACUGAAAGAAGAGUUGUUUUAUUCUUGAAAUUGAAGUAUCCAUAGCUAGUGCAUGAGAAGAGUUAUAAGAAUGUUUUUGGCAAGCUCUCUUGAAUCCAAAGCAAAUUGUAGGCCUCAGGGAUGAAUUUUGAUUAUGUACUGGAUUUCAAAGCUCCGGCUCACCUGUGGUUCUAUUCUAAAGAUGAAGAGCAGAGCAAAACUCCCAAAAGAACUUCUCUCUCAGUGCAUCUGAAGCAUUUUCUCCAGUUGCCCAGACAUCGCUUAGGGAUAAUUUGCAGAUUGAGGUACCGUUGUCAAGAAGUAGGGAUGACACUUCAACAAAAUGUAAAUGUUAUCAAAUGACACCAUUUAUACUUGCUGUGGAUUUGAGGUAUAUUUAAAGUAUAAAUAAAAAAUUUAACUAUGAGAUCUCCAAUGUUGACCCCAAGUGUCAAAAAAACCCCAAACAAUUACAACCCCAAAACAGAGAAUAAAUUUGUUCUAUUUCUUAAUCAACAUGUUAGGUCUCUUAACAGAAUGUAUAUGGGAGAAAAGUACUUCCAUUCUUCCAAGUACUGAAAGAGGUUCCUGUGCUGAAAGGCUUUUAUAUAUUCUAACUUUAACUUACGAUAUCUGUCAGGAAUAUGUUAUAAAUGUAUCACAAUAUGCAUACUAAAGGACUGAAGAAGCUGAAUGUCUCUGCAUAUUUUCAUAGAUAAUCAAAUUUGUUCUUUUCUCUUUUGGAAUUUUUCCAGGUCUGGAAUUUAAAAACAAAACAAAACAAAACUUCCAUCUGUAAAAGCAAAUUCAAUAGAGGUACUAAAAUGUACAAUAAUUGACUCAAAUUACUACUUCAAAGCUACUUUAUAGGCUUUCCUCAAGAUAGACACUAAGAGCUAAGCAUUCACUGAUUUUCCCUAUAGAAUCAUGCAACUCUUAUCAUCACUUUAUCAAUUUAUAAUGAUUUUCUGACAGUAAAAGGCAGAAAGGGAAUAGCACUACUCUACCCUAAUAAUAGUGUUCAGGGUCACUGAGAAAUUUUAAUGGUUAUAAACCAAAUUAUGGGAUUAAAGAGGUCAGAGGGAGCAAAUUGUUUUAUAUUCUGGUUUAUACUUCUCAUUUCAAGAACCUCAUGAAAUAAAAACUAUCUUUGAAGCAGUCAUAAAAUGUGAAAUUUAUCAGGCAAGGAAAUGAAAUUUUGUUUUUAAUUUACCUACUUCAAGGAAAAAAUUAUCCCUUCUCUAUGUUGCAUCUUCAGUAGACUAUCAUAAAAUUGAAACUGUUUUCCAUUAUAAUUUCCUCAUUUACUUUAUGAUUGAUUAUUCAUAUAUUUUUCUUUCCAUAUGUUAAAUGAAGCAUCUUUUAAAAUAAUGGAAAAUAUAUUUUGCCAUUAAUGUAUGCAAUACAUUUUGAACAUGAAAUCCAGUAAAUAAAACAAAAGCUUUCAAUUAAAUUACAUCUAAACUUUCAUUAAUUGUUCUUAAAUAUUCUAUUUAGUAACCUUGAUACUGGCUUAACACAAGGUUGACAUGCGAG
ensembl:lncRNA